rnacentral:rRNA from 1 species
CCGCCUGGGGAGUACGGCCGCAAGGUUAAAACUCAAAUGAAUUGACGGGGGCCCGCACAAGCGGUGGAGCAUGUGGUUUAAUUCGAUGCAACGCGAAGAACCUUACCUGGUCUUGACAUCCACGGAAGUUUUCAGAGAUGAGAAUGUGCCUUCGGGAACCGUGAGACAGGUGCUGCAUGGCUGUCGUCAGCUCGUGUUGUGAAAUGUUGGGUUAAGUCCCGCAACGAGCGCAACCCUUAUCCUUUGUUGCCAGCG